CAACAGGCCCCAGGUCAGUCCUUUUGACCAUCCCUAGUGCCGUCUGUCGCCUCCACCAGCGAACUCCAGAACAAUGGUUCCUACAAGGGGCCCUCAGCUUCCCUCUCGGCUGACCAGGGAGCUUUCAAGGUACCCUGAUGGAUGCUAAAGCCGGACUCUUUCAGAUCGUUUUACAGCCGGAGCCUUUGAUCUGCCAGCAGGCUUCUCUUCACGGGUGCCUGUCCUGAGAAAAUUCAGCAACUUUCGGCCAGUCCGCAGACAGACGAGAAGAAGCUGCUGAAUGAUCUCAGUGGAUCGUCUCGUCAACUCCAACAACAAACUGCCGAUAUCAACGAGCGGUUCGCUCCACUGGAGCGUUCGGGACUCUGCGGGUUUCUGUCCAUGGAGGAGAGGAACUGACUCAAAGAAGAGGAGACGGGAGCACAAUCCCAAGAUAGCGGAAGCGGUGCGCCGUCUUCACAACUCCGAGACGAAUUGCAGGCGCUACGAACGAACCGGAGCAAGGACUAAUCUCGCCUCAUAAUGAGGCGGUGACCUCGUAUUUGCUCCGGGAAAAGUCCAGAUUUAGACGACGUCAUUGUGUCCGCCUGUAAGACGUAUUUUGAGACGUACGCAGGAGCUUCAGGUUCAGCCGGAACACUCAUUGCGGGCGGAAGCUGCGAAGGAUUCAGCGCGGAGUCGAGCGAGAAGAAAGAGGCUGCUGGAAUCGAGACAAAGUGCGCUGGCUGAUGACGAGGUGGAACUCUGGAAAUCCGCCACCGUGGAGCUCACGUCGGACGGAGAGGACGGUGUUGUUGGCGGGGUCUCGGGGUGGAUUGUACGGUCGCCACACACACACGAGCCGCCUGCACAACAGACCUGCCUCGGAAAACACGGCGCCAGUGACGGUCAACAACCCCGAGGAGGCAAACGGACAGUUUACUGAGCUGUAGUUUUUAAACCGCCGUUACCCAAGUGCGGGCAGAUCCUCACUUUGUAUGUAGUUGUUGUUUGUGUGUUGUUAAUAAAGCUUUUUCUUUGCAUAAA
ensembl:lncRNA